rnacentral:lncRNA from 1 species
UAACUUAAUUUUCAUGUUCCCAAAUGAUAUAUCCAUUGCCCCAGUUCUACAGUUGAUACAUGCAUUGGCUGUCGCUAAAAAGGGACGACCAAGAAUCACAGGGAUUUAUUUUUUUAGGUUGGGCAGUAUUCGAAGCUUGCUGCCUCCAAGAAAAAUUUGGAUGAUUCCGCCAUCCCGGGUUAUAUGUAUUGGAAAAUGGGUCAUUAUCCGGUCUGGGCUGUGUUUGGGCAGCAUUGAUGUGUUCUUGCACGAGUUC